rnacentral:rRNA from 1 species
GACGAACGCUGGCGGCGUGCCUAAUACAUGCAAGUAGAACGCUGAAGGAGGAGCUUGCUCUUCUGGAUGAGUUGCGAACGGGUGAGUAACGCGUAGGUAACCUGCCUGGUAGCGGGGGAUAACUAUUGGAAACGAUAGCUAAUACCGCAUAACAGUAGAUGUUGCAUGACAUUUACUUAAAAGGUGCAAUUGCAUCACUACCAGAUGGACCUGCGUUGUAUUAGCUAGUUGGUGGGGUAACGGCUCACCAAGGCGACGAUACAUAGCCGACCUGAGAGGGUGAUCGGCCACACUGGGACUGAGACACGGCCCAGAAUCCUACGGGAGGCAGCAGUAGGGAAUCUUCGGCAAUGGACGGAAGUCUGACCGAGCAACGCCGCGUGAGUGAAGAAGGUUUUCGGAUCGUAAAGCUCUGUUGUAAGAGAAGAACGAGUGUGAGAGUGGAAAGUUCACACUGUGACGGUAUCUUACCAGAAAGGGACGGCUAACUACGUG